rnacentral:lncRNA from 1 species
GUUGUCAUAUCAAAACUCGUUGCUUUAUUAAUCAAUUGCAGUUUCAGUUUAAAUCUUGUAAUAAUGCGACUAAUGAUGAGCUUGCUGAAACUGUUGAGGACGAAAACGUUAUCUCAAACCAAGUGAAAAAUGAAGAGUCGGGUGAAGAAAAUGAAUGGGGGAGCAUAGAAGUCAUGUUUAGUCGGGAUUAUAGGGGAGCCCCGAGGAGAACAAGAAGAAGAAGAGGAAGAGGUGGGGUUAGACGGCUUCAUAGAUGUCCUUCUUAGAAUCCUUAUUUAUGCUUUUAUUGCUUCUUAAUUUUGAGCCAUGCAUAUGUAUUCU